UCAGAUUUCGUCUCGGGGACACAACCAAACUCAAUUACACUCAAGUGCAUAGUAAGAAACAUCAUGCCACUCUCUAUCUUUUCAAGUCACGCGUUAAGAAAAGAUGGAAAAAUGUUUCAAUGAUGGAACUGCAUUUAAUGCUCAUGUUCCCCAUUACGCUUUUCCAAAAUCAAAGUAGCACAUACAAUCCAAUGAUAUGACAGUUAUUCCCGAAGUUCG
rnacentral:lncRNA from 1 species